rnacentral:rRNA from 1 species
AUGGCGACCAUGGACGAGCACAGAAGCGGUGGCAAAGGACACCGAUCGAAGGGGGAAAAUAGGGGGAGUGGGAGAGGAGCUCAUCACGGGGAGGAUGGUGCGCUCGGGGAGGUCGGGGAGAGCUUGAUGGCGACGGAUUUGACGAAGGUGGCCGACCUCCUGAGGUUGAAGAAGACGAUCAAGGCGAUUUUACAUCUUCGUUUUGGACCAUUUGUUGGAGUUGCUCUUUUACAUCUCUGA